AUCGACCUAGCCAGAAGUUCUCGCACCCCCACCGUUCACUUUUUUUUACGGGAUCCACCGCUCACCCCUUCGCACUCGUAAACUUUUCUCCGCCUCGAUGUAAUUUCUGGUUUAGCAUGUGCGCGGACGGUUAUUAUUUUUAGUCGUGGGUUUAAGAGCUGGAACCCGGCCUCUGAAAGGGUCCAUGGAGGGCGGAAGCGGUGGCAGAUCUCGGCGGUGAGCGGCCGGAAGUUCUGGGUGGCUCGCAGCGCAGAGGCGAGCGGAUGGUAGCGUCGCGUAGCCUCUGGGCUUUGUGCGGUGUGGUGAGGACGAGCCCUUGUGUCCGUGCGGCGGGCGACCUCGUGCCCUCGUCGGCCGACAGCAUCCAGCGAUGGUAUGCUCGCCCCCUCCUCCAUGUAGUCCAGCCAUGAGGAACGACUCCCCGUCUCCACCUGCUCCACAAGGCCACAAGUCUACGACUAUCCUCCUAACCUUGUUCAAUCAUCAAACGUAGAAGCCACACGGCCACACGGAGUGAUGAACAUUACGGAACUACUUCCAGUAUGGUCAACAAUAUGCAUAUACGAGGGAGUCCAGGUUCUACAAGAGAUACAAUGCUCUUCAUUCAAAUUGAUGGAGAACAACAGCACAAAAGCAUCUCACCCUUCCAGGCGGAAGCGCGCUAGCUCUUCAGGUAGCCGCUCGAAUCGCCACCACCAUUACAAGUGGCCAGAUCAUUCUUCCUGACAUAUAACCAGACUCUAGCACAUGCAAUAGCUUCCAAUGAUCUUCGCCAUAUUCCUGGACAAUGGGAAAUAAGGAGUCAUUUUUAAGAUUUCCUUUCUGCGACGAGCCAUACUCAAACAUAGGUUAUUUACAUUCCUAGAAAGUUCAAUGUCAGGGAACAUAAUUGCCCAGGACAGCCUCAUCUCUCAGAUUCUAAUGAUAGCUCAAAGUUGGCUCGU